GACGAACGCUGGCGGCGUGCUCAACACAUGCAAGUCGUACGGUAAGGCCCUUUCGGGGGUACACGAGUGGCGAACGGGUGAGUAACACGCGAGUAAUCUGCCCACCACUCUGGGAUAAAGAUAGGAAACUGGAGCCAAUACUGGAUAUGUGCUCCUGCCGCCUGGAGGGGGUUGGCAUGCUCCGGCGGUUGUGGCUGGACUCGCGGCCUCUCAGCUUGUUGGUGGGGCAGUGGCCUACCCAGGCGGCGUCGGGUAGCCGGCCUGACAGGGUUACCGGCCACAUUGGGACUGAGAUACGGCCCAGACCCCUACGGGAGGCAGCAGUGGGGAAUAUUGCACAAUGGGCGCAAGCCAGAUGCAGCAGCGCCGCGUGCGGGAUGACGGCCUUCGGGUUGUAAACCGCUUUCAGCAGGGACGAAGCUUUUUGUGACGGUACCUGCAGAAGAAGCACCGGCUAACUACGUG
rnacentral:rRNA from 1 species